GUGCUUGCUUUGGCAGCACAUAUACUAAAAUUGGAACAGUACAGAGAUUAGCUUAGUCCCUGUGCAAGGAUGACAUGAAAAUUCAUGAAGUGUUCCAUCGCCCU
ensembl:snRNA U6 U6 spliceosomal RNA